CGGAUUGUAGGCUGAAACUCGCCUGCAUGCAGUCGGAAUUGCUAGUAAUCGCGGAUCAGCAUGCCGCGGUGAAUACGUUCCCGGGCCUUGUACACACCGCCCGUCACACCAUGGGAGUUUGUAACACCCGAAGUCAGUAUCCUAACCGCGAAGGGGGAGCUGCCGAAGGUGGGAUAAGCGACUGGGGUGAAGUCGUAACAAGGUAUC
rnacentral:rRNA from 1 species